AAGACUAUACUUUCAGGGAUCAUUUCUAUAGUUCGUUACUAGAGAAAUCUCGCUGAUCGUGUAGAGCACCGGAAACCACGAGGAAGAGGUACAGUGUUCUCUCCUGAGCGUGAAGCCGGCAUUUGGUGUUGUCUUAAGGCAUCUGCCACUUGCCAUUGAUGAUCGUUCCUCUUCUCCUUUGUGAGAAGUGAGAGGGGGAGGACACAUUCUGAGUGGU